rnacentral:piRNA from 1 species
GGCCAUCAUAGGAGGCAACGGAGCUUCCGGCU